AAAUCACAAAAUUAAAAAAAAAAAUGUUAGAUACAAAGAGAAUUGUCUGAUGUUGCGAAAAAAUCGAUUUGAGUAAUUUAGAUCGGAUAUCCGAUAAUCUCUGAAGCUUCUUCUAUUCCCAGUUUGGAAUCCACGUAAAUCUGCAAAAUUCUGAUUAUUGGAUAAUCUGUCUUUUUGUAAUUCUCUGAUUUCGACUGAAAUUGAUAAGAUUGAAUCGGAUAUGGAUCUCCUUCUAUAGAAAAACAGGAAACAAAACAAAGAAGCGUUAAAUAAAAGAUAAGCACAAAACCCUUUGGAUUCGUGUUUAUACAUUAUGAUUUUUUAAGAAAUUAUAAUUUUUUUAAUAUUAAUUUCUAAUUUUCUUGUUCUAUUAUGUAUGUAGCAUCGGUCUAGAUUGGAAAAGCCGAAAAGGAAUGGAUCGAGAAAGUAUCUUCUUCUACAGGUUGUAUCUAUUUCCAAACCUUACGUUCUUUCCUUACACUAUCCUGGUAAGUAUUAUCCAGGUAAGUACUAUCAAGUUAUAAUUCAACAAAAAAUAUAAGUUAUAUAAAUUAAAUACUUUAUGGUAAAAUUUAUAAAAGACGAAAGUCUGAUUAUAAAUUAUAUUAAUUAAAAGUUAUCGAUAGUAUGGAAAAAAGUUUGAGAAUAAACCUACUGAUGAAACUGUAGGUUUAGCACAAACAUAAAAAAACCAUACUAAAUUAUUCAAACAACAUCCUAAGUUUGUAAAACAAAAUGUUUGCUUAGAACCAUACCAAUUCAUGAAACUCUUUCUCUCAUUUCGUUCCACCACUUCACCAUCCACGACAGUCUUCAUGUCAUUUGAUAACAUCCUGUUUUUAUAACACAAAUUAAAUUAUGUUUUUGGAAACAGAACUUAGAAAAUAGUAUAGAUUUUUAAAAAUACACAAAACAGUUAAUCAAUAAUAGGUACCUUCGCAAAUGUCUCCUACAUGAAACCGCUCACUUAAGAUUCUGGAAAACUUCUUGUUUCCUUCUGAGGUUUUCCUUCUUUAUCUACUAUCAAAAUCUUCAAUCCUUUUUUAUUAGUCACUCUUGAGACUACAACAUAAAGCUAGCCAUGUGAAAAACAUGGCCUCGGCAAAUAUAAUCCAACAUAAUCCAAAGACUGUCCCUGACUUUUGUUAAUAGUCAUUGCAAAAGCAACAACUAAAGGUAAUUGUCUUCACCGCAUUUUGAAAGGUAGUUUAGUAUCUCAAGGAGUGAGCAAUAUCCUUGGAAUGAGGACCUUGUCGCCGACUCUAUCUCCUGUAAUCACAAUAGCUUCCAAAACAAACUCAGCCAAUUGUGUGAUCUGCAACCUUGUUCCAUUCAUUAACCCUCCUCUGGGAUCUAUAUUCCGUAACAACAUUACUGGACAACCUACCUUCAAUCUAAUUUUAUGAUUUGGGACACCAAAUACCUUUAGACUAUUUAGGAAAUCAGGUGUAAGAACUGGAUUAUUUUCAAAACGUUUGUCAGCUGGAUCAAUAGAAUCUGAACUUAAGUAUGUUCUUUCCUCACCUACAAAACAUUUUAACGUUUAUCGGAUUUUUUAUAUAUACAUCUUUUUCCAAAAAGUAACAUGUAUUAGAAAACAUAAAUAUUUAAAACACAAAAUUUACUAACCUUCAAGCUGAUCAAGCAUAUACUCAUUGAUUAUGGCAACAUCGUCAUUGGUCGGACAUAAGAUUCCUCUUUCUUGAAAGAAAAUAGGAUCAUUUUUAUCUUUCAAACACUUAGGAUCUCCAUAAACCUCUCUGCUUAUUACCUCAAUAGGAUCAUCUGCUGAUGUGAUUAAAAACUCUUCAGGGAUAUCUAUCAUCAUUUCACCAUCAUUAGGCUCUGAAAUCUUUCCAUCACCAACUUUCAGUAUCCAUUCUGAGAAAUCCUUUAUCUCUUUAGCUGUCGUAGGACUCAAAUUAUUCGCAAGAAGCCUCAUAUUCUUGGUCAACUUCAAGACUUUACAAUGCUUCCAUAGAUAAGAAGCAUUUAGUGCACUCAUACAAAUUUAUGCUCUUCCAGCAUUCGGGAUGAUGGGUAACACCUGCCUGAAAUCUCCCCCAAAUACAACAACUUUCCCCCCAAAAGGUCGAUAACCAGCUCCUUUUAUAAUAUCCGACAAAAUUCUAUCUAAUGAUUCAAAACAGUGUUUACUCAUCAUUGGAGCUUCGUCCCAAAUGAUCAAAGAUGCUUCUGUCACCAGUUGUGCUUGAUCUGAACCCCGACUCAUUGUACAAACACUACUUUCAUGCAGAUUUAUUGGAAUUCCGAACCUAGAAUGUGUUGUCCUUCCACCUGCUAGUAAUAGAGAAGCAAUGCCACUUGAAGCAAUGUUUAAGACGAUUUCUCCUCUUGCUCUUAACCCUGCUGAUAGAGUUUUAUAUAGGAAGGUUUUUCCAGUUCCACCAAACCCAUAAACAAAGAACACACCAUCCUUGUCGUUAUCUACUGCUUCCAUGAUCUCCUCUUGCUCUUAACUUUCUUCAGGAUUAGUAUCUAGUCGUUUCUUAGCUGAUCUAAAGCUUUCAAUAUAAGGAUUCACAGCGUCUAGCAUCUUGAUUAUAGCAGCAAUCACUUCUAGCCUUAGCUUCUGUUUUUUUUUUAUAUCUUCCUGAAUUUUUGGCUUUACUGAAAAUAAAACAAUUUAUCAAAUAUACAUUUAAACACAGUAAAACUAAAAUUUUUAACCUUUAAUGUUAAACAUACCUCAGAAUCCCAGCUCUGUUUUCAAUCUCAUUCUCUGUAUCUACGAUAUACAACUGUGAAAACUUAGGAAAAUCACCAUCGGUAGGCUUCAAACUACCAAGUAUAUGAUAAUUCUCUCCUUGUAUCUGAAACAUAUUAGGACCACGACCUUUGACAAUUGAAUUUUCACAACAACCACCAAGUGAGGUGAAUGAAAAAAUCAUGUUGUAUGCCCUGAUAUUUUCUCUGAAAUGUCUACUCAAGUCAUCAUCAUUUGUUAACAUACCAAAUAACAACUCAGGCUGAUUAUGUAGAAAAGGUAGUUUAACAGAUCCUUGCAAACAACAUUGUGUGAAAGUAGGAUUUUUAGACUUCUUGUUCCUAUUAAUUCGCUCCCCAUACCACAUAAUAGCUCCACAGUAUGAACAUGAAAAAAUAGGGUCGCCAUGAUCAAGAUACUCUACAUAUGAAGUAGAACAUUUGUUAAUAAUACGUGAAAAAAUCUAGAUUUAUAUGUUGUCCCAAAAUAUUAAGAACAAAUAAACUGUAUAAAGUACCUAUUUCUUUUUUUUUAACUACACGUCUGGGAGUCUUCGAUGAUUUGGAUCCGAAAGCUUUUUUCAAACUCUCAUCUAAUAUAUCCAAAAUUUGAUACCCUUUCAUAACAUCAUCAGGAACAUCUUCAAGGUCAUUUUCGCCAUCUAAGUCUACCGAAUCACUAUCGUGAGAACUGCUACUACUGCAUUGUUGAUUUCAUGUCCUUCUAUGAAUGUAUCGUUGGAGCACUUAGGAGCAUUUGGUUUCUUUUGCCUUGCAAGUAUCUUCCCCAUAUUCUGAAUGGUUGGACAAGGAAAUAUCAUGCGUAAGAUCAUGCGUAAGAUCAAACAAUGUGAUCCCAGAACCUUCAUUCGUCCCUAAAUUCCAAUUCAAGCUUCCCAUCUUGAAUACCUUGGUUCGUAGCUUUCCGCUUUGCUGCUGCUGGACGCUUCUGACGGUUGUUAGCAUCAUAUUGGAAGCUAAACACAGGAGGGAGAUUGGAGUGAAUAGGAGAAACAGUCUGCAUUUUAUCAGGAGAUCAGCUAUCCACGAUGAUUAUGGUCCCAAAUAAAGAUUUUUAACCCAUCUAUGAGGAGAAAUGUUCAUGUCCAAGUUAACCGUACCAAGUUCAUCGUAAUUCUCCAAAUUUGUCAACUCUAACAGGUGGUUUUGAAUGCUUUGAGGUCGGACAGAUUUGUAAAACCAUUGGUGGCUGCCAUGACUGCCAUUAAAAGGAGUUGUUCUUAAUAGGUUUGGGUUAAAGGUCGAAUAUGCGAUGCAAUCAAUGUAAGAUAUUCUGUUUUUGUAUUUGAUUGUGGGUUUGAUAUUAAACUUGAGAGUAAGAUUAGGGAUUCGAUCAAGUAUUCCCGUUUUUGUAGUUUAGAGCAUUUAUUUAGGAAGAAGAAAAGGUAAUGAAAUGAAUUCGGUUGUUGUGUUU